UCUUCCCUCUUUCUUCGUGCCUAAUACAUGCAAGUCGAGCGAACAGACGAGGAGCUUGCUCCUCUCACGUUAGCGGCGGACGGGUGAGUAACACGUGGAUAACCUACCUAUAAGACUGGGAUAACUUCGGGAAACCGGAGCUAAUACCGGAUAAUAUAUUGAACCGCAUGGUUCAAUAGUGAAAGACGGUUUUGCUGUCACUUAUAGAUGGAUCCGCGCCUCAUUAGCUAGUUGGUAAGGUAACGGCUUACAAAGGCAACGAUGCGUAGCCGACAUGAGAGGGUGAUCGGCCACACUGGAACUGAGACACGGUCCAGACUCCUACGGGAGGCAGCAGUAGGGAAUCUUCCGCAAUGGGCGAAAGCCUGACGGAGCAACGCCGCGUGAGUGAUGAAGGUCUUCGGAUCGUAAAACUCUGUUAUUAGGGAAGAACACAUGUGUAAGUAACUAUGCACGUCUUGACGGUACCUAAUCAGAAAGCCACGGCUAACUCCGUG
rnacentral:rRNA from 1 species